GUGUCACUGGACCCCAGCGCUAAACAGAAGAGUCGUGCAGUGUUGUAAAGUUUGGCUUUAGCAGCAGAUUUCUAUGAAACCAAAGGUCGUAGCCUGCCAGAGCUAUGCAAUUCUUAUUAGAGGAUGGGCUGACUACCUGCCCCUAAUUCACCCAAAGGCACCCCUGAUUCGGAUGGAUUCGGUUCUCAAGCUAGCCUUAGUUAUGUCAACUAUGGCCUUUAAGACAGAACCACCUCAAACAACUUUCGGUAUCUGAAAUUUCCAUAACAUAAUGUACCGAGGAGCCUAUCGUCCAUGAGCAUUUAUACUUUUAAUUUUAGGGUGAUUUUGAUAUGAUGCAAAAAAGAUCUUGUAUUUAAUUGAUUGAGAGAGUCUGUUAGAUCUUAACAAUGUAUUUUAAUUAUUGUUAGGAUAAAAGAUCAUGUGAACAGCCA